CAGGCCUGGGGCUCCGGUGCCGCACCGGUGUGGUUGGGCACGGCCUCUGGAUGACUUUUGCUGUGGAAGAGUAAUUCCUGAACGGAGGGUCCCUGGGCACCAAGGGAGUGUCUGAAUCACGGUGUCCCUUGACUGGGCCUCCCCGGCAGGUGCCCGUCUGUCCCCUCUGUGCUGUGUCCUGUGUGGACAGGGGUCCGCACUCUCAAGUGUCUAAUGGUUGGGUGGGGCCCUUGUCAUUGUUUUCCGCUGAAAAUCACUGAAAUAUCUGUCUGUCAGAGUAGCUGUGUUUUUACCUCUCAGAGCAAACAGAUCUUUCGUGCAGCUUUCUACAAGCGUCCCCAGUGGUCCUCCGCAGCAGGCCGCGGCCCUGCUGCGCUGUGAGGUGACCACGAGGCCAGCUGAGCUCCGUGGAGGAGAGAGGCGUCCGGCCCACUGGCCGGAGGCCACACCUGGCGGGCAGAGGCUCUGGCUUCUCCCCACUGGGCUUGGCGGCCUCCGCCCAGCUUUUAGUCUGUCGUCUGUCCGAUGAGAGCAGUCAAGAGCGGCUCCUUCCCAAGGGACUGAAAUGGAAGUGACAAAGUGUAAAAAUACCAACAAGCACUUGGAGACGCCAUUGAGGCUGCCUCGAGACGAUGUCUCUUCCUGUCAGAUGCCCUCUGCACAGAAACUGGACCCAGGCGGGAUUGCUCACACCGCAGACGCACACACACCCUUGCCCGUGAUCGCGGGCGUGUUCCAGCACCCAGAGGGCCCCCCCGGCCCCCAGCACCACCCGCUCCCAGGUGAAGUUUCCACGAGUGACUUGGUCACUUCCUAGAAAAACGGUCGGAGCUCACAGGUUCACUGGUCAGCUCCUAGCCUCGAGUGGGGCAGCUCCGGGGCCACGGAGUCCGGACGAGCGGCCCUGAAAAGGUCACGGGUGGCAGCUGGCAGCCUGAACUUUGGCGCCAUGAGGGGGGCCAGGCCUUCCUGCCUCAGGACUGGCGCACCCCCCCCCUUGACAGGGAGCGGUCCCGGGGGGCUCUGUGCCCCAGACUCCAGGAGCUCCCGGAGGGAGGGACCAUCCGUCUGGCCCUCCCUCCGCGCUAGAGAGGACGUGCCUCUCGGGCGCUCAGCCCCGACACACAGCGCGCCCCUCUUGUGGGCUUUGCUGAGCUCUUCCAUCCGGGCGCUCAGGUCUAACAUUCAAAACCAGACUCAAAAUCAAUUCUAUCACAAAGUUCCACUUGAACGUCUGGCCCCCCAGCCCCCCUCUGCCGCACUGCUGGCCAAGUGGGCUCACAGCCAAGGAGGGGAUUUUGUCAGAAUCCCGCGGAAGAAGCCCCGCGGCGCUGGGUGCACGCCUUGGGGUGUCUUUUCACCUGGACGCAGUCACGAGGACACAGUUCCCUGCAGAAGCCACCGAGGGGUGGGCCUGCCCCGCCGGAGGCUGGCUGCCAGGGGCCGGGACGCGGGAUGCGGGGUCACUCCAGGACGCUGACGCAGAAGCACGAGGUUGAGGCCAGCCGCCUCUGCACCCCGCCCUCCCCGGCCUCGCCUGCUGUGUGGUAAGUGGCCUCUGGGUCCCAACACGACAUCUUCUGGGGACAAGUCCUCCUCACGCCCGGCCGUGUGUCCAGCGAUCGUCGCCAGAUAACCGUUUGUUAAAUGUACGAAUGAGUAAGAAGCAGCCCUGUUUCAUUGCCGAAAGCUCUGGACGUACAGCGCUGGACGUCUGCGCUUAGCGGAGACGUAGACCCUCCCGUCACCGACGAGGUUCUGACGCGGGAGGCGGGACUUGGCACGAGGCGGUCUUUCGAGACCAGAGUGGACGCAGCUGGCUGGCGGGCCCACCAUUGUCCACGGGGCCCUUCAAUUUAGCAAUUGGCUGGAAGUCGAAGCCAGAAGCUUCUAACGAGGGCACCCGUGUGCGGCGUGCGGCGUCCCGGCCUGUUCGCGCCCCAGGCUGGAUGCGGCGACCCUCCCAGCUCUCCAGCGUCCUUGUGUCCUGAGUGCAGACCCCCUCUCGCCGGCAUCUGGAGGGUCCCAGAGUGGGUGACAGGCCGACCGCUGUUCUGACCUCCCCGUCUGGCCCCAGGCCUAGUGGAGUAACCAUGGGUAGUUUUUCUUGCCCUAAACACCCCUUUCUCGUAGGGCCAGCACCUGCCUCUGAGAAUUGAUUCUCCAGCAGACCGUGUUCCUCGCUGGGAGCUGCCACCACGACUUCCCUGGCCCGGGGACUCCCCACUGGGUCCUGGGCGGGUGGGCUGCAGGCAGAAGCCCAGACAGACGCAGGAGACAGACUGCUCCUCCGGCGGGCGGGGCCUGGCGCGGGGAGGCCGGACAGCAGGCCCCGUGCAGGGGGAGGCGGCAUGGGGCGCCUGCGAUCGGCUGCGGCUGCCACUCCCCCUGCCUCCCACCUGUGUGGUCCGAGGUUUCGGCAAUUCCGCGACGGCAAGAGCCAGGUGGUGGCCCUUUGCCCAAAGUGGUCAGAGUUGGUUUUCGGUUGAUGGCUCAGUGCCCCCCCCUGCGGGCCUGCAGGUGUCCAAGCCCAUGUGUAGUGUCAGCACAUGGAGCUCAGACCCCCUUCCUGGGUGGAGGUGAUCUCUUUAAAGGCAGACAUUGGCCUCUCUUUGUGUCCGUGGCUCCUAGCAGAGAGGCUGAUUCCGAGCAGAUAUUCAAUGAACAUUUGUUGAGCUGAGCUGAACGUAUAGAAUUCUGUGUUGGCAGGUGGUUCCUGCCCGAGAGGGCUUUGCAUGCGCACGCGCGCACGUGUGCACGUGCACACACACACACACACACACACACACACGUCUCGCUAUAAAUAGGACGGAUCAAUGUCCCAAGUGAGAGGCGCUGUUGGCAGCCACAACCGUAGGGUUCCCGGUUUCUGCCCGACUUAAAUAACAGAAGGUCCAGGCCACUCAGAUUCCGCCCCCAGCCCUGCCUGUGUGGCCCCCACCCCCCCAGAUCUCGAGCCACCUUCCCACAGAGCAGCCACGGCAGGUGGACACCCUCCGCGAGGGGCUCGCACGGGCUGCAGGGGACGACGCCGGAGCGGUGGGCCUGUGUCUUAGCAUCUCUCCCUCUGCUGUCAGCCAUGCAAAGUCCUGGGGCCUUUCCAGGAGAGGGGGGAUAUGCGGGGUAUCGGAGCCCCAGUAAGCCACAUCCUUGCCGAGUGGUGGGGUCAGGUUGGCAGACACCAGGGAGCUAGGCUUUACCUUUGAGUCCAAGGCACUGGACAGACCCCCAUUUGCUCUCAGCGUCUGGGACAGACCGGCCUGUCGGGCUGUCCGCAUCAGCUAGGCUCUGGCUAGUCCCCACCAGCCUGCUUCUGUUCCCCUAACGUUUCCUCUGUGCGCAUCUGUUUGAAGCCUCUUGUUCCUGCCCUGUGGACAGUGAGCCGAGGUCAGGGCUUGGAUUUGGAGCCACAGCCCAGAUGACGGCACUGAACCCCAGGCCUCCCGUUGCUGGGUCAUCACCUGUGUUCCUCAGGCAGCAAGAUCGGUGCCUGUGAGAGCGAGGGGGCCCUUCAGAGGCGGUGAAGGCAUUCCUGCUCCCUCUGAACCAGGGCCCCGCUCCCCCGGCUCCCACCAGCCCCGUAAAAGACUUGUCCGGGGCUCUACGAGCGGGAUCAGAUUUCAGCAUAGGAUGCAACACAAAGCCCACUCCCCUGGUCUCCCCACCCAUCACUCACGCAGACGAUGGGACGGAGACAGUCUGGUCAGGAUCUCCCUCAAACCCGGAGCAGGAGACCGAUGUGGACAGUUAAGGAGGAGCUGCGUGCAGGCUGGGUCCAGGCAUUCUGUCCCUCUUCAACAUGAGCAUAUGUAUUUAUAGUGUAAUAUAUGCAAACAAAAUUUAAGUUCAUAUGCGUGUGGGUUUCAUAUUUAUACCUUUUUCUGUUGCUGAAAUGGAAAACCACUGCUAAAUAUAUACACAUACAUAUGUAAGUCAUACAUAUAUGAUUUGUGUUGUGUUCAGCGCACUUAACAUUUCAUCUAAUAUACUUCAAAUAAUAUAUUUUUAAGAACACUGAAUAAAAAGCCUAUGGUUA